UACGUAGGGUGCAGGCGUUAAUCGGAAUUACUGGGCGUAAAGGGCUCGUAGGCGGCCAACUAAGUCAGACGUGAAAUCCCUCGGCUUAACCGGGGAACUGCGUCUGAUACUGGAUGGCUUGAGUUUGGGAGAGGGAUGCGGAAUUCCAGGUGUAGCGGUGAAAUGCGUAGAUAUCUGGAGGAACACCGGUGGCGAAGGCGGCAUCCUGGACCAACACUGACGCUGAGGAGCGAAAGCCAGGGGAGCAAACGGGG
rnacentral:rRNA from 1 species